UCGCAUCUGUGCAUGCAGCAUAUCAAUAAGCGGAGGAAAAGAAACUAACAAGGAUUCCCCUAGUAACGGCGAGUGAAGCGGGAAGAGCUCAAAUUUGAAAUCUUAAGGGGUUUCCCUUUACGAAUUGUAGUUUAAAGAAGUGUUUUCUGUUGAGGUUUUGGUAAAAGUUCUUUGGAAUAGGACAUCAUAGAGGGUGAGAAUCCCGUAUUUGACCUUUACUUUCAACUUUGUGAUACACUUUCAAAGAGUCGGAUUGUUUGGGAAUGCAGUCCAAAAUGGGUGGUAAAUUUCAUCUAAAGCUAAAUAUUGGCGAGAGACCGAUAGCGAACAAGUACCGUGAGGGAAAGAUGAAAAGAACUUUGAAAAGAGAGUUAAACAGUACGUGGAAUUGUCAAAAGGGAAGCGUUUGACACCAGUGUUGUUUUUCUGAAAAUCAAUUAAAGAACUGUUUAUGCUAAGCUGUUUAGACUUUAUCAGCUAUCUGUUUAGUUUUGAGCUUUUCUUUAAUGCACUUUUCAGUUAACAAGUCAACAUCAAUUUCUUUUGCUGUAAAAAAGCUUGAGGAAGGUGGCUUGAGAUUCGUCUUAAGUGUUUAUAGCCUCUUGCCUAUGCAGUCGGAGAGAUUGAGGUCUGCAGCGUAGAUCCUUCGGGGCUAAAUGCAUUUGUGCUAAGUUAUAGCAUUUUAUAGACAACUUGUUGACUAUGAUUUGUCUUGUAGCUUACUCGCUUAUGUUAUUUUACCUACGCUUAGGAUGUUGAACGCGCACAGAGUCUC
rnacentral:rRNA from 1 species